UGGGUCUGUGACAGCCGCCGGCGCAUGAGUCACGGGUGAUGAAGGAUACGUGUCUGGAACUCUGAGGUCCAG